CUCGUGUUCUGUGCUCUCAUCAGGACCUGUACCUACAGGAAGAUACUACUAUCACAGCGUCACAGUUCAGUGAAUUCAUGGAGUCUCCCCAGUGAUAUAUAUCACAGCGUCACAGCUCAGUGAAGUGUCAUGGAGUCUCCCCAGUGAUAAUAUCAGUGUCACAGCUCAGUGAAGUGUCAUGGAGUCUCCCCAGUGAUAAUAUCACAGUGUCACAGCUCAGUGAAGUGUCAUGGAGUCUCCCCAGUGAUAAUACAGUGUCACAGCUCAGUGAAGGUCAUGGAGUUUCCCCAGUGAUAAUAUCACAGUGUCACACUCAGUGAAGUGUCAUGGAGUCUCCCCAGUGAUAAUAUCACAGCGUCAC
rnacentral:lncRNA from 1 species